UCCCCGUUGUACGGGGCAGUCUCGCUAGAUACGUAUAACUAGCAACAAGGGUUGCGCUCGUUGCGGGACUUAACCCAACACCUCACGGCACGAGCUGACGACAGCCAUGCAGCACCUGUGCUGGUCCCCGACUUAACGGGUCGCCACCUGUUUCCAGGCGCUACUUCCAGCAUGUCAAACCCAGGUAAGGUUCUUCGCGUUGCAUCGAAUUAAACCACACGCUCCGCUGCUUGUGCGGGCCCCUGUCAAUUCAUUUGAGUUUCAACCUUGCGGCCGUACUCCCCAGGCGGGAUACUUAAUGCGUUAGCUGCGGCACAAGAGGGGUCGAUACCUCUUACGCCUAGUAUCCAUCGUUUAGGGCGUGGACUAC
rnacentral:misc_RNA from 1 species